rnacentral:rRNA from 1 species
CCUACGGGGUGCUGCAGUGGGGAAUAUUGGACAAUGGGGGGAACCCUGAUCCAGCCAUGCCGCGUGUGUGAAGAAGGCCCUCGGGUUGUAAAGCACUUUCAGUGAGGAAGAACGCCUGGUGGUUAAUACCCAUCAGGAAAGACAUCACUCACAGAAGAAGCACCGGCUAACUCCGUGCCAGCAGCCGCGGUAAUACGGAGGGUGCGAGCGUUAAUCGGAAUUACUGGGCGUAAAGCGCGCGUAGGUGGCUUGAUAAGCCGGUUGUGAAAGCCCCGGGCUCAACCUGGGAACGGCAUCCGGAACUGUCAAGCUAGAGUGCAGGAGAGGAAGGUAGAAUUCCCGGUGUAGCGGUGAAAUGCGUAGAGAUCGGGAGGAAUACCAGUGGCGAAGGCGGCCUUCUGGACUGACACUGACACUGAGGUGCGAAAGCGUGGGUAGCAAACAGGAUUAGAUACCCGAGUAGUC